UUGUACUCAAAAGUUUUAGUCGUUUAACUCAGCAGUAAACUUUUUUUGACGUCGUUUUUAGGGUAUUGAUGUUGUUUUCGUAGGGUGAAACGGAAUUGGAAUCUCUUCAGGCUGUGUUUGGUUGGGGGGAAUGAAAAGGAAAAGCCAUUCUUUGCUCGACCACCGAACUCCAGCCAUUGACCAUCGACGCCAUGGCUUCGAAGCUCCCGAACCAACUCCGAGCUCUCUACGCAUCCACCACCCGUCACCGGCUUCUCUCUCCUCGAUUCCCGAACCCUAACGAAGCUUUCCGAGACCUCCUUCUCGGUUCCAAUGGCAGACUCUUCUCGGACGAAAGAAAUUUGAAUUUCUAAUUUCUAAUUUCCAAUUUUCCAAAUCGAAAGAAAGAUGGCUGAAGAAUCGACGCGGUCCCCCGUCAGGCUUAUGAAUUUCGUGUCGGAGGAGCAGUUGGAUGAAGCAAAGAGAAGGAAAGGCGAACGCGUCAAAGAUGGCACUGCCCAAAGGGAUAGACCCCUUUACGAGAUUUUAACGGAAAAUAAAGACAAGAAGGACGCUAAAUUCAACGAACGCUUCAAGCACAG